CAGGCCUAAUACAUGCAAGUGGAAGGGUGUCUUCGGACAUAGUGGCGCACGGGUGCGUAACACGUAUGCAACCUACCUUACAUUGGGGGAUAGCCUUUCGAAAGGGAGAUUAAUACCGCAUAAGACAGUAGCUGGGCAUCCAGCAGCUGUUAAAGAUUUAUCGAUGUAAGAUGGGCAUGCGUCCAAUUAGUUAGUUGGCGAGGUAACGGCUCACCAAGACUUUGAUUGGUAGGGGAACUGAGAGGUCAAUCCCCCACACUGGCACUGAGAUACGGGCCAGACUCCUACGGGAGGCAGCAGUAGGGAAUAUUGGGCAAUGGACGCAAGUCUGACCCAGCCAUGCCGCGUGCAGGAUGAAGGCGUUAUGCGUUGUAAACUGCUUUUAUACAGGAAGAAACGACUCUUGCGAGAGGCAUUGACGGUACUGUAUGAAUAAGCACCGGCUAACUCCGUGCCAGCAGCCGCGGUAAUACGGAGGGUGCAAGCGUUGUCCGGAUUUAUUGGGUUUAAAGGGUGCGCAGGUGGUUUAUUAAGUCAGUGGUGAAAGACGGUCGCUCAACGAUUGCAGUGCCAUUGAAACUGGUAGACUCGAGUAAAGUAGAGGUGGGCGGAAUUGAUAGUGUAGCGGUGAAAUGCAUAGAUAUUAUCAAGAACUCCAAUUGCGUAGGCAGCUCACUUGGCUUUUACUGACACUCAUGCACGAAAGUGUGGGUAUCAAACAGGAUUAGAUACCCUGGUAGUCCACACUGUAAACGAUGAUAACUAGGUGUCGGCCGAAUCUGGUCGGUGCCACAGCGAAAGCGUUAAGUUAUCCACCUGGGGAGUACGCCGGCAACGGUGAA
rnacentral:rRNA from 1 species